UUUUUGCGUUAAGGAUUGGAGUGAAAAGCCCACAGUAUUGCCCUAGCAAUACGAGGACUUGCAGCGGAAAGCCUGACGGCCC
rnacentral:misc_RNA from 1 species